rnacentral:tRNA from 1 species
GCGGGUAUAGUAUAGUGGCUAAUAUGUGACCUUCCCAAGGUCAAGCGGAGAGUUCGAUUCUCUCUACCCGCACCA